rnacentral:lncRNA from 1 species
UAAAUGUUCUCCUGCGUGGAUCGCGUUCAGUGAUUUCAGGAAAAAUGGGUUUGAUGUUUUGGCCGAUAAAGGGCAGUGAAAAGAAAGCAUAGAAAAUAGCUGUCAUCUAUAUGCAAGUUUAGGAUUGCUCGCUCGGCUUGCGAGCAGCAGCAAUGAUCCCAAGGUGUGUUUGUUCAAAUUGCGUUUCUCAAGGCAGCAACCCUGGCAUUUUUUAUUC